GCAGUCGAGAAAACUCCACAAUGCGCGAAAGCGUGAUGGGGGGAAUCUGAGUGGUUCACUUCGGUGAACCUUUUGCCAAGUUUAGCUAGCUUGGCGAAUAAGUGCUGGGCAAGACCGGUGGCAGCCGCCACGGUAAUACCGGCAGCACAAGUGGUGUCCACGAUUAUUGGGCUUAAAGCGCUCGUAGCUGGCCCAUGCCGUCUCGUGUGAAAUAUUGGCGCUCAACGUCAAUGCGGGCAUGAGAUACCCAUGGGCUAGGGAGCGGGUGAGGUAAGGAGUACUUAUUGGGGAGGGGUAAAAUCCUGUAAUCCUUUAAGGACUAACGGUGGCGAAGGCGCCUUACCAGAACGCAUCCGACAGUGAGGAGCGAAGGCUAGGAGAACGAAUCGGAUUAGAUACCCCCGUAGUCC
rnacentral:rRNA from 1 species